rnacentral:rRNA from 1 species
GACGAACGCUGGCGGCGUGCUUAACACAUGCAAGUCGAACGGAAAGGCCCUGCUUUUGUGGGGUGCUCGAGUGGCGAACGGGUGAGUAACACGUGAGUAACCUGCCCUUGACUUUGGGAUAACUUCAGGAAACUGGGGCUAAUACCGGAUAGGAGCUCCUGCUGCAUGGUGGGGGUUGGAGAGUUUCGGCGGUUGGGGAUGGACUCGCGGCUUAUCAGCUUGUUGGUGGGGUAGUGGCUUACCAAGGCUUUGACGGGUAGCCGGCCUGAGAGGGUGACCGGCCACAAUGGGACUGAGAUACGGCCCAGACUCCUACGGGCGGCAGCGGUGGGGAGUAUUGCACAAUGGGCGGAAGCCAGAUGUAGCAACGCCGCGUGCGGGAUGACGGCCUUCGAGUUGUAAACCGCUUUCUCCGGUGACGAGGCGUGAGUGACGGUAAUGGGUAAAGAAGCACCGGCUAACUACGUG